AUCCAGCUGGAGAGUCCCAAAUAGGACGAAACUCAUAUUCUGGAU
rfam:Schistosoma margrebowiei strain Zambia genome assembly, scaffold: SMRZ_contig0000542